AACGAACGCUGGCGGCAGGCUUAACACAUGCAAGUCGAACGCCCCGCAAGGGGAGUGGCAGACGGGUGAGUAACGCGUGGGAAUCUACCCAGUUCUACGGAACAACUGAGGGGAACUUCAGCUAAUACCGUAUACGCCGUACGGGGGAAAGAUUUAUCGGAAUUGGAUGAGCCCGCGUUGGAUUAGCUAGUUGGUGAGGUAACGGCUCACCAAGGCGACGAUCCAUAGCUGGUCUGAGAGGAUGAUCAGCCACACUGGGACUGAGACACGGCCCAGACUCCUACGGGAGGCAACAGUGGGGAAUAUUGGACAAUGGGCGCAAGCCUGAUCCAGCCAUGCCGCGUGAGUGAUGAAGGCCUUAGGGUUGUAAAGCUCCUUCAGUGGGGACGAUAAUGACGGUACCCACAGAAGAAGCCCCGGCUAACUUCGUGCCAGCCGCCGCGGUAAAAC
rnacentral:rRNA from 1 species